UUCGCAAUGCCCGAAAGGGUGACGAAGCGACGCCGCGUGCGGGAAGAAGGCCCUCGGGUUGUAAACCGCUGUCGGGAGUUAAGAAAUGUAAGGAUGUUAAUAGCAUCUUUGCUUGACUAAGGCUCCGGAGGAAGCCACGGCUAACUCUGUGCCAGCAGCCGCGGUAAUACAGAGGCGGCAAGCGUUGUUCGGAAUUAUUGGGCGUAAAGAGCACGUAGGCGGCUAUGUAAGUCGGUUGUGAAAGCCUUCCGCUCAACGGGAGAACAGCAUCCGAUACUGCAUGGCUUGAGUGCGGGAGGGGAGAGUGGAACUUCUGGUGGAGCGGUGAAAUGCGUAGAUAUCAGAAGGAACGCCGGCGGCGAAAGCGGCUCUCUGGCCCAUAACUGACGCUGAGUGUGCGAAAGCUAGGGGAGCAAACGGGAUUAGAUACCCCGGUAGUCCUAGCCGUAAACGAUGGGCACUAAGUAGAGGGGUUUA
rnacentral:rRNA from 1 species